ACGAACGCUGGCGGCGUGCCUAAUACAUGCAAGUAGAACGCUGAAGGAGGAGCUUGCUUCUCCGGAUGAGUUGCGAACGGGUGAGUAACGCGUAGGUAACCUGCCUGGUAGCGGGGGAUAACUAUUGGAAACGAUAGCUAAUACCGCAUAAGAGUAGAUGUUGCAUGACAUUUGCUUAAAAGGUGCAAUUGCAUCACUACCAGAUGGACCUGCGUUGUAUUAGCUAGUUGGUGGGGUAACGGCUCACCAAGGCGACGAUACAUAGCCGACCUGAGAGGGUGAUCGGCCACACUGGGACUGAGACACGGCCCAGACUCCUACGGGAGGCAGCAGUAGGGAAUCUUCGGCAAUGGACGGAAGUCUGACCGAGCAACGCCGCGUGAGUGAAGAAGGUUUUCGGAUCGUAAAAGCUCUGUUGUAAGAGAAGAACGAAGUGUG
rnacentral:rRNA from 1 species